GAACGCUGGCGGCGUGCUUAACACAUGCAAGUCGAGCGGAAAGGCCCUUCGGGGUACUCGAGCGGCGAACGGGUGAGUAACACGUGAGUAACCUGCCCUUGGCUCUGGGAUAAGCCCGGGAAACUGGGUCUAAUACCGGAUACGACACACUCUCGCAUGAGGUGUGUGUGGAAAGUUUUUCGGCCAGGGAUGGACUCGCGGUCUAUCAGCUUGUUGGUGGGGUGAUGGCCUACCAAGGCGACGACGGAUAGCCGGCCUGAGAGGGUGACCGGCCACACUGGGACUGAGACACGGCCCAGACUCCUACGGGAGGCAGCAGUGGGGAAUAUUGCGCAAUGGGCGGAAGCCUGACGCAGCGACGCCGCGUGGGGGAUGAAGGCCUUCGGGUUGUAAACCUCUUUCACCACCGACGAAGCUAACGUGACGGUAGGUGGGGAAGAAGCGCCGGCUAACUACGUGCCAGCAGCCGCGGUAAUACGUAGGGCGCAAGCGUUGUCCGGAAUUAUUGGGCGUAAAGAGCUCGUAGGCGG
rnacentral:rRNA from 1 species